UUAAGAAUCUUGCGCAAUGGGGGAAACCCUGACGCAGCGACGCCGCGUGGACGAUGAAGGCCUUCGGGUUGUAAAGUCCGAUAAGCGGGGAAGAAUAAGCAACGGGUAAUAUUCGUUGUGAUGACGGUACCUGCCUAAAGCCCCGGCUAACUACGUGCCAGCAGCCGCGGUAAUACGUAUGGGGCUAGCGUUGUUCGGAAUUAUUGGGCGUAAAGGGCGUCUAGGCGGGGGAUUAAGUUGGGUGUGAAAUCCCGUGGCUCAACCCAGGAACUGCAUCAAAAACUGGUUCUCUUGAGUUCGGGAGAGGAGAGCGGAAUUCCCGGUGUAGCGGUGAAAUGCGUAGAUAUCGGGAAGAACACCAGUGGCGAAGGCGGCUCUCUGGCCUAGAACUGACGCUGAAGCGUGAAAGCGUGGGGAGCGAACG
rnacentral:rRNA from 1 species